UACUGGGGUAGCUCCAAGCGAGUUUCACCCGGAAUGGACGUAGCCCAAAAACAUCGGUGAUGAGCUACUGGAGGGCAAGUCUGGUGCCAGCAGCCGCGGUAAUUCCAGCUCCAGUAGUGUAUAUCAACAUUGUUGCGCUUAAAACGCUCGUAGUUGGAAUGGGGGCCGCCGUCGAAGGCUCUCUGACGGGGAGUUUUCGAUUUAUGGCUGGAGCCGGGGAUCUCGGCUUGAGAAUUCCUGGCGCUGGUUUGGUGGCCCAAUAUCAUGGGCCCCGGUCUGGGUCUUGGGUGGUCUAGACCGGGAGUUGAUGGGGUGUGCCUUGAAGAAAACAUGGUGCUCAAAGCAAGCGUAGAUGCUGGGGUGUGUAAGCAUGGAACGAAACUGUGACCGGGUUUCGCUGGGGUCUGUGGUUUUUUUUUUCGAUUGUGGAUCCUAGCGGGAGCAGCUAGCCUUGGUGAGCUGGGUCUCAACGGUUAACAGGGACACCUGGGGGUACUAGUACUCUGUGGCGAGAGGUGAAAUUCUUAGACCCGCAGAAGACUGGCUGUGGCGAAAGCAUUUGCCAAGAGUGUUUUCAUUAACCAAGAACGAAGGUCAGAGGAUCGAAGACGAUCAGAUACCGUCCUAGUUUUGACAGCUAACGAUGCCGGCCUAGCGUUAGGACAGCUACCCCUAAGGGUAGAGCGGUCUUGGUGCUUGAGGGAAACCUAGCUUUCGGGCUGCGGGGAGAAUAUCGCUGCAAGGCUGAAAUUUAAAGAAAUUGACGGAGAGGCACCACCAGGAGUGGAGCCUGCGGCUUAAUUUGACUCAACACGGGGAAACUCACCGGGUCCAGACAUUGGUAGGAUUGACAGACUAGGGGAUCUUUCAUGAUUCAGUGAAUGGUGGUGCAUGGCCGUUCUUAGUUGGUGGAGUGAUCUGUCAGGUCUAUUCCGGUAACGAGCGAGAUCGCGGCUCCGUGUUAUUUUCCCUUGGAAUUUGGUUACUAGCCUAGAAUCUUGGGGGUCUGUAAUGUUUUCUGAGAAAUGGUGCUAGAGCCAACAAUUC
rnacentral:rRNA from 3 species